rnacentral:rRNA from 1 species
GAUGUAGGGCGCGAGCGUUGUCCGGAUUUAUUGGGCGUAAAGAGCUCGUAGGCGGCUUGUUGCGUCGACUGUGAAAACCCGUGGCUCAACCAUGUGGUCUGCAGUCGAUACGGGCAGGCUAGAAUUCGGUAGGGGAGACUGGAAUUCCUGGUGUAGCGGUGAAAUGCGCAGAUAUCAGGAGGAACACCGGUGGCGAAGGCGGGUCUCUGGGCCGAUAUUGACGCUGAGGAGCGAAAGCGUGGGGAGCGAACAGG